rnacentral:lncRNA from 1 species
UUUCUUCGCCGGCAUGGGCGCGGCGGUGGGCGGUGGCAACACCUGGACACGGCGGCGGCAGAAAGCAAGAAGAAGCGUAGCAGACCUCCUCCCAUCUCUGCCUGCAUGAACUGCUUCUUCGUGCAUUCAGUGAAUAUGCAGAAAGAUAUCAAGCAUAAAAACUGAAUAUUUCAGUUAGUAUGUUGUUGCAUUCUGAACAUAUACAUAGCAACAUCACCUUGGC